AUUGAACGCUGGCGGCAGGCCUAACACAUGCAAGUCGAACGAGUGGCGGACGGGUGAGUAAUGUCUGGGAAACUGACUGAUGGAGGGGGAUAACUACUGGAAACGGUAGCUAAUACCGCAUACCAUCAGAUGUGCCCAGAUGGGCUUAGCUAGUUGUGGGGGUAAAGGGCCACCAAGGCGACUAUCCCUACCUGGUCUGAGAGGAUGACCAGUCACACUGGAACUGAGAAACGGUCCAGGAUCCCACGGGAGGCAGCAGUGGGGAAUAUUUGACAAUGGGCGAAAGCCUGAUGCAGCCAUGCCGCGUGUGUUAAGAAGGUCUUCGGAUUGUAAAGCACUUUAAGUUGGGAGGCGUUACCAACAGAAUAAGCACCGGCUAACUUCGUGCCAGCAGCCGCGGUAAUUC
rnacentral:rRNA from 1 species